ACGGGAGGCAGCAGUGGGGAAUAUUGCACAAUGGGCGCAAGCCUGAUGCAGCGACGCCGCGUGAGCGAAGAAGUAUUUCGGUAUGUAAAGCUCUAUCAGCAGGGAAGAAAAUGACGGUACCUGACUAAGAAGCUCCGGCUAAAUACGUGCCAGCAGCCGCGGUAAUACGUAUGGAGCAAGCGUUAUCCGGAUUUACUGGGUGUAAAGGGAGCGUAGGCGGUAAGGCAAGUCUGAUGUGAAAACCCAGGGCUCAACCUUGGGACUGCAUUGGAAACUGUUUAACUAGAGUGUCGGAGAGGCAAGUGGAAUUCCUAGUGUAGCGGUGAAAUGCGUAGAUAUUAGGAGGAACACCAGUGGCGAAGGCGGCUUGCUGGACGAUAACUGACGCUGAGGCUCGAAAGCGUGGGGAGCAAACAGGAUUAGAUACCCUGGUA
rnacentral:rRNA from 1 species